UACAGAGGUCUCAAGCGUUGUUCGGAUUCAUUGGGCGUAAAGGGUGCGUAGGUGGCGGGGUAAGUCAGGUGUGAAAUCUCGGGGCUCAACCCCGAAACUGCACUUGAUACUGCCUUGCUCGAGUACUGGAGAGGAGACUGGAAUUUACGGUGUAGCAGUGAAAUGCGUAGAUAUCGUAAGGAAGACCAGUGGCGAAGGCGAGUCUCUGGACAGUUACUGACACUGAGGCACGAAGGCCAGGGGAGCAAACGGG
rnacentral:rRNA from 1 species